rnacentral:lncRNA from 1 species
GGGGAAGAAUCUCUUUCUGGAGAUCCCUCCUUUUAGAGUUUUCUACUGAGAGCCUAGAAUAUGGGUGAGUUUUUUUUUUUUAUUAUUGUCUCUUUCCACCAUGAUUAUCUUUCUAACUAUAAAGCCUGUAAAAUACCCUCCUAAAUUCAUCACUCUACAAACUGUAUGUUUGUUAAUUGUACACCUUGUCAUACAGGACAGGUUUGGAUCCAGUCUACUGAGUACUAUCAUUCCUAGUCUGAAAAGCCUGUCCUGGGAUAAAAGGGUUUUAAAUCAAUAAUUCCAGAGUUGUUGGCUUUUAGCAAUUGUGCUUGGGGGGGGAAAAAAAGAAAGAAAGAAAGAGCAAUCCACAUUGGGUAGGUGGAUCCACACCAUCCUCUUUUGCUGGAAGGGAAUACUGGAGUCUGAAGGAGUUGCUGGAGUUUUGUACACACAGGUCACUUAGCUCCUAGAAACCUUGAAUUACCGUGGCCUGGUUGAGAGUGUGGGUAGAUGCUGAAAUCGGUGCACUGCCUGACAGCCCAGCAUUAGCAUCUGUGAAUCCAUUGGGAAUGAGGCUUCAUGCAGCAAAAAUCCAGAAUCACUAAGCUGGCUGCAUGUACAACUUUAGAUUCAAUCAAAGGGUAGUCAGCCGUGGCUCCACGUGACUCAGGUUUCAGGGAGAGGCUCUCCCUUGGGCAUGGCACAAGCUCACUGAAGUCCCAGUAUCUCUGGCCAAGUCAUGGAUAGACUUGUCUCUUCCUGCUCAAGGCAAUGGAGUACUAUGUGCUGAGGUACUUCCAAGAGACAUUCUGACCCACUGCUGCUUGGCUGCAGGUGUUCUGGCAUUUGGACAAAGGCAGUUGUGAACUUGUUUCUGAAGCAGAACAUCUUAAUACUCACAAUGGACCAUAUUCCCCAUAGGAAUCCACUGAAUAUUGUGCCUUCAGGAGGGAUUAACACUCACUAAUCCUCCAUUCAGGACAAAAAAAAAGUCUUAGGUGUUUGCCAAGGACCUAUAAGCCAGUUUCUUUUCCUUUUUUUUUUUUCCCCUCAUCUUUUUUAAACAAAUAAAUCCUCCCCAAAAUUAUGAAAGCAGAUCCAAGCAAUCGCAGUGACUCAGCUGUAGAGCUACAAGCAGUUCACGUUGCAGAUUAAAUCUGUGGUAGGUAAUAUCAUUUUGCUGUGCAGUGAAAAUGAAAAAUGACUCCUUCCGUAUUUGCUGUGUGCAAAGUGCCAUAUGCAAAGUUUUAUACCAAGCCAGAGCAGUUUCUAGAAGAGGAAAGAGAGGAAGUGACAUCUUCAGAUAGUUUAAGAGACCACUCCCACCUAUGCAUUGCUUUAACAGUGGAGUGGUCUGGGCUGGGUGUAUCAGCAGAGAGAAAAAAGAAGAUAUUCCCAAAAUAAGUAAAUUACAGGUCAUUCGUUCACAGCUGGAUGUUGCAGGGACUGGGAUUUUAUUUCUUAUCAAAACUGUGAUAUUUCUUGACUGGAAAUAAAACCAACAUAAUUUUUUUUUUUAACUGAACCUCAAGCGGAGUGACCAAAACUGCAGCUGCUGCUCCUGUGCAGUAAAGUAUUGAAGAGUUAACAAAAGGUUUAAACUGAUUAAGUGCUAGCACAGAGUACUGAAUUCCAAAUACCAGUAUGUUAAUUAAAAUAUUACGUUUACCGUUAUUGCUUGCAAGUUUGAUUGCUUUUGUAAUUGAAUCUAGUGAUAUUUCUUCUUUGGUUAUGGGACAAAAUAGAUAGGAGAGUCUAGUCUGCUCUGUAUCUCUGUUUUAUGUACCGUACUGCUCUCCUUAUAAGUCAUCUGUCCCAGCAGUACGUAAAUGGUAUCACUUUGUUGUCCAGAUUCUGACUUUUUCCCGGGGAUACAAAGCAAUGUCUGCUUGAAUUCCUGGUUCAUUUUGAAAUCAAAGGCAGAAUUGACAGCAGGAAAGCUGGAGCUCCUUCAUAGCCUCAAAGCUUCUCCCUGCUACCCAGCUGUUGCUUUGUUUGCCCCCUCUUUUAACAUACCCUCUUUUUACUGUGUUCUUUUGGGAUGAGGUCAAGAGUCAACUUUAUCCACACUGGAAGUACCAUCUGCCGAUUUUCCUG